AAGCCGGGCAUGGUGGCUCACACCUGUAAUCCCAGCACUUUGGAAAGCCACAGCAGGCGGAUCACAUGAGCCCAGGAGUUGGAGACCAGCGUGGCCAACAGGGAAGAAGAUGAGCCGUAAGUCUGAACGCCAAGGAAUUCAUGUGGAUCCUGUGCAAGAAAGGAUGUGGUUACUGUGGCAAUCCUACCUGGCAGGGUUUCUGCUCCAAGUGCUGGAGGGAAGAGUAGCACAAAGCCAGGCAGAAGCAGAUUCAGGAGGACUGGGAGCUGGUGGAACGGUAAAAGGACUUAACUAGGGGCAGUUGAUCAGUGAUGUGACUGGAUACAUAGCUCUGUCACCGUGCAAAUACAUUUUUUCUCUUCUGCAUUCAGCUAUCAGCAAGUCAGUUUAAUAUUAAGGAAAAGGAUGUUUUCCCCUCUUCUUCUCAGUCAACCUUUAAUGAACAGCUUUCAGUAGUUUCUUCAUUUUGUGUUUGUC
rnacentral:lncRNA from 1 species